rnacentral:rRNA from 1 species
UACGUAGGGUGCGAGCGUUGUCCGGAAUUAUUGGGCGUAAAGAGCUUGUAGGCGGUUUGUCGCGUCUGCUGUGAAAAUCCGGGGCUCAACCCCGGACUUGCAGUGGGUACGGGCAGACUAGAGUGUGGUAGGGGAGACUGGAAUUCCUGGUGUAGCGGUGGAAUGCGCAGAUAUCAGGAGGAACACCGAUGGCGAAGGCAGGUCUCUGGGCCACUACUGACGCUGAGGCGCGACAGCGUGGGGAGCAAACAGG